rnacentral:rRNA from 1 species
AUUGAACGCUGGCGGCAUGCCUUACACAUGCAAGUCGAACGGCAGCACGGGAGCAAUCCUGGCGGCGAGUGGCGGACGGGUGAGUAAUACAUCGGAACGUACCUGGUAGUGGGGGAUAGCCCGGCGAAAGCCGGAUUAAUACCGCAUACGACCUGAGGGUGAAAGCGGGGGAUCGCAAGACCUCGCGCUAUUGGAGCGGCCGAUGGCAGAUUAGGUAGUUGGUGGGGUAAAGGCCUACCAAGCCUACGAUCUGUAGCUGGUUUGAGAGGACGACCAGCCACACUGGGACUGAGACACGGCCCAGACUCCUACGGGAGGCAGCAGUGGGGAAUUUUGGACAAUGGGCGCAAGCCUGAUCCAGCAAUGCCGCGUGCAGGAAGAAGGCCUUCGGGUUGUAAACUGCUUUUGUCAGGGAAGAAAUCUUCUGGGCUAAUACCCCGGGAGGAUGACGGUACCUGAAGAAUAAGCACCGGCUAACUACGUGCCAGCCGCCGCAGUAACAC